UCUCCUACCUGUUUCUCGUAUAUUACCCAUCAUACAACGCGAGAAUAAAAUCCUGUGACUGUCGCCAUUUCCUGUGUUGGUGAAAAUGGUUCUGUUGCGUGGUCGCGUGUUUAGUUUGUUCUUUUAAUUAAAUGUGUUUUAUAUCAGAUAGAGUGUUUAAUAAUGGAAAAUGUACGAAAUUUAUGUGUCUAUAGUGACAUUCUGUGCAGUGUAUCUUAUCCCUUUAUUGUCAGUGCCUCAUGAGUUUGUGAUAGUUAAAUACGGCUUUCAAGAAGCAGAAUUGGAAAGCUUUUGCUGCCUACUAAUAUGUCCAAAGAUGGCGGUCGUUUCAUUCGAGACGUCUGAAUGUUGACGCGGGACCAUUUGGAGGAUUAUUAAUGGAUGCUGACCACUCAGAUGCGGGCGUACUGUCUCAUAACACCGUUCAAUAUGAAAUCUGAACAACAUCAGUGGCGAUGAAGAAUGAUG